rnacentral:misc_RNA from 1 species
CCAAUAGCGUAUAUUAAAGUUGUUGCAGUUAAAAAGCUCGUAGUUGAAUUUCGGGAUUGACGUGAUGGUCAUGCCUUAAGGGGUAUGAACUGUUGCUGUUGAUUUCUCACCUUCUGGAGAAACUUGAUGUCCUUUAUUGGGUGUCUUGCGGAUCCAGGACCUUUACCUUGAAAAAAUUAGAGUGUUUAAAGCAGGCAUUUUUGCUCGAAUACAUUAGCAUGGAAUAAUAGAAUAGGAUGGCAUGGUUCUAUUUUGUUGGUUUCUAGGAUCACCGUAAUGAUUAAUAGGGAUAGUUGGGGGCAUUAGUAUUCAAUUGUCAGAGGUGAAAUUCUUGGAUUUAUUGAAGACUAACUACUGCGAAAGCAUUUGCCAAGGAUGUUUUCAUUAAUCAAGAACGAAAGUUAGGGGAUCGAAGACGAUCAGAUACCGUCGUAGUCUUAACCAUAAACUAUGCCGACUAGGGAUCGGAUGAUGUUAAUUUUAUAAUGACUCAUUCGGCGCCUUAC